CUCACAGAAUGAUCACUCCAAUCCUCAGUCCCUCAUCACUGUCAUGUAUAUAUAUGUACAUCAGUGAUGAGGGAUUGAGGAUUGGAGUGAUCAUUCUGUGAU